GGUGAGAUGGCCGAGUUGGUUAUGGCGCCAGGUUAAGGUCCUGGUACGGAAACGUGCGUGGGUUCAAGUCCCACUCUCAUCA
rnacentral:tRNA from 1 species